UACAGAGGGUGCAAGCGUUAAUAGGAAUUACUGGGCGUAAAGCGCACGCAGGCGGUUGGUUAAGUCAGAUGUGAAAGCCCCGGGCUCAACCUGGGAAUUGCAUUUGAAACUGGCCAACUAGAGUACGUGAGAGGGGGGUAGAAUUCCAAGUGUAGCGGUGAAAUGCGUAGAGAUUUGGAGGAAUACCAGUGGCGAAGGCGGCCCCCUGGCACGAUACUGACGCUCAGGUGCGAAAGCGUGGGGAGCAAACAGG
rnacentral:rRNA from 1 species